rnacentral:rRNA from 1 species
GACGAACGCUGGCGGCGUGCUUAACACAUGCAAGUCGAACGCUGAAGCUUGGUGCUUGCACUGGGUGGAUGAGUGGCGAACGGGUGAGUAAUACGUGAGUAACCUGCCCUUGACUCUGGGAUAAGCCUGGGAAACUGGGUCUAAUACUGGAUACGACAUGUCACCGCAUGGUGGUGUGUGGAAAGGGUUUUACUGGUUUUGGAUGGGCUCACGGCCUAUCAGCUUGUUGGUGGGGUAAUGGCUCACCAAGGCGACGACGGGUAGCCGGCCUGAGAGGGUGACCGGCCACACUGGGACUGAGACACGGCCCAGACGCCUACGGGAGGCAGCAGUGGGGAAUAUUGCACAAUGGGCGGAAGCCUGAUGCAGCGACGCCGCGUGAGGGAUGACGGCCUUCGGGUUGUAAACCUCUUUCAGCACGGAAGAAGCGAAAGUGACGGUACGUGCAGAAGAAGCGCCGGCUAACUACGUG